rnacentral:rRNA from 1 species
UACAGAGGGGGCAAGCGUUAUUCGGAAUUAUUGGGCGUAAAGGGCUCGUAGGUGGCCAACUAAGUCAGACGUGAAAUCCCUCGGCUUAACCCUGGAACUGCAGUGGAGACUGUCGAUCUUGAGUACGGGAGAGGAGAGCGGAAUUCCUGGUGUAGAGGUGAAAUUCGUAGAUAUCAGGAGGAACACCGGUGGCGAAAGCGGCUCUCUGGCCCGAUACUGACGCUCAUGUACGAAAGCGUGGGGAGCAAACAGG